CACAUAUUUAUGUUUCUGUCUCUUUUUUUAUAUACAGGUGAGAAUAGCCCAGUAUGUUUUGCGCAUCAGCUGAUCUGACCACAUAUGACUAUUUUGCGUCAGGAGGGAAUUCCACUCUUUCUAGAAACUUUGAGAGCACUUUGAACAGACAUAAGGGCCACCGAGUAUCAUCAAAGAGGCACAAUGAAGUUGUAUGACCAGCUCAUUUAUGCUUCUUAAGCAUCAUUUUACCCCACCAGAGAGGGACAAGUCCAAAUAAGCUCAAAAUGACAAAAUGCAGAAAGGGAGCGGCACUAGGGAUCCAAAUUGUGAGUAUAUCAGUACCUAACAUCCAGGGAAAAUGAAAGACACAGGAUUUAUAGAUGAUAUUUGCUCUGCAGCUCUCCCGACUCCUAAUAAUUUACAACUAAACGAGCAGAAAUUCAUUUAAAUUACACCUGUAUUUCCUUAAUCGUUAGACUUGGUGCAGUGUGGAGACAGUAUUGUAAUCCUUAGACUCUUCAGUCUGGCCAACAUGCAUUCAUGACACUUUGCAGUCUUGACUUGACAUUGCAAUCUCUAAGCAAACUGACUGGCGCCAGGGGAAGAAUAAGAGGAAGAGCGACACAACAAGGGGGUCAAAAGAGAAAAGAGACGGGCUCCUACAAAUGGCAAUAAUGACCAGCAGUUAUUAAAUUAGGCUCUAACAUGGAUGCUGGUGUCCUACAACGCACCACUGAGCCUAUAGUUUGGACACUAUGCUGCUCAUAUAUUCAGAAUAGUCAUGUUUUUUUCCCUUGUGAUUUAUGUUUUUCUGCAGACAAUAAUCGGGAGCAGGUGUUCAGCUCGGAGGUUAUUUUCCAGACGUGAAAUUGUUGCUAUCUUCCUUUAUUGGAGGAAGGAAGCACUCGUCUGCAUGAAGCCACUAAUGUAAUUUAGCAUGGCAUGGCAGCAAGUAGCUAAUUGAGCAAAUGAAGAUGUGACAUGGUCAGCCAUCAAUUAUAGCGACAUAUCAAGAACAUCAAUCUGCGGUUAAGUUGAUAGCCUGAUGGUAAUAAAUCAUUGUUCUUAUGUAUAUUUCAAGAGCCGAAUUUCUUUCUUUCUUUCUUUCUUUCUUUCUUUCUUUCUUUCUUUCUUUCUUUCUUUCUUUCUUUCCCCUCAGAUGCCCGGACUCCGCAGCGGAUUUACUGUGAAGUGGUUGGAGUUUAUUGUUGCAGACAAAAAAACAACAACAAAACAAAAUAGUACGUGCGUGUUCCAAAGUCAGCUGGAGUUGUCAGAAAGACGCUGAAGACAAAAAAGGAAGAAAAAAAAUCCUGAAACUAUUCCUGCACAAGAGGUCUUACAGGUGUAAACCAAAAACUCUCUCUCUAAAAAUCUUCUAUCAAAGCAUCCAAUUUGAGUAAAUCAACCCUUAUUUAAAAGCAAUAAUUCCUACCUGAAAAAUAUCGCUAUACUUGUCCAGACGUGUGCACCUUUUCCACUCUUUUGGGAACAACUGCAUGGUGUCUUUUCAAGUAGAAAAGAAAGGUAGGCCUCGGCCCAGACCUCUAACAUUAUGUAAAUGAGGCAAACCUCUCAACCUUGUGGAUUACUGAGUCAGAGAGCAGGACCCUGGUCCACAAACCCUCCACGUUAGGAUCCCAUAAAAAUCUGGAGCUGGUUGGCUGCAUGCAACGCUUUUGAGAGCUUAUAGUCCACAUUAAUGUAGUUGUCAAUCUAAGUUAACUUUUACAUCCAGGGAAUGUGAUGCGGCCAAGGCAGUGGGAGGCGGAUAAACGGACGCGCCAAGGAAAUGCGAAGAAGGCCCUGUCAAGUGGUUCUUUUUGUCUGGAAGGAUGUCAGCUCUCUGUGCCUGACCAUCUCUGAGGACGCUUGAUGUCAUCUUGUCUACCUGAUCAUUACACUACCUGCUCUCCUCUACAAUGCUGCCCUCUCGCUGCUCCGCCACUUGAAAUGCUUGGCUGGCCUCUUCUCUGAAACCAUCAUGAAAUUGUGCGCUAAAACGGUGCCGACUGUUCCUCCACUCUCCUCCCUCCAGCCAUGAGUGCAGGAGCCAUAAAAAGAUUCCUCCACUCGGACCACUGCUGCUGCUCAGUCAACAGGAAAACACACAAAACACACUUCAGCCGUCUGCCACUGUUCACCUCUCACUGCUUUUAUUUGAUUUCUUGUUGUUUGCAGCGCAACUUGGGCAGCAGUGACCAAGUAAAUGUAAUGGACGUGACCAGUUGUUUAAAAAGACAGACUUAAGCAUCGUGUGUUUUCAAUAAGAUUGCAAUGACUGUGUGAAAAGAUUAUUUUCUGUUUCUGUUGUGGGUUACUAAUAUCCAUAUAGUGACAUCUAGUCUCACAGCAGAAGGUUCAGCUUCAUUAAACAGGUUAAAUUAAGUUUUUUUCAGCAAAUCAAGGCAAUGGUAACCUUUUGCUGUAACAACAACAAUCCAUCCAUUUAUGCAAGUUCAUUUAGAAAUAUAAACACAUUUAGUAUUUCACAGUUUGGAAGAAAACAAAGUUCAUCUUCUUAGACUUCAUAUGGAUUUUUUGCAUUAUCAGUUUGUUUUAUUGUUCCAAAAAAUUUACAACGAGCCUUUCUAAAGGUGGAAUAGGAAAAGCCCAGAUGUAAAUAUUAAUGUCUGAAUUACACUGGAUGCUACAUUUUCAGGGUCCUUAUACUGUGUAUGAUCUCUCACUGUCACCUCACCAUUGUGUUUUUACUAACACCACUGCUUCUCCUGCUACAACAAGUCACAAAGUCAGCUGUCAAAUGUACUGCAUCACGUCCAUGAGUCACCGCUAAAAUGGUGCGUCAAGAACACUGAUAGUGUUAUCUGUUCCACUACACAGUGUCUGUCAGUGCUCACCCGACUAAAUCUUACACAUAUUGUCAUUAAUGCUGACACAUAUUUCCCUGAACUCUAAAAACAGGCCGUUAGUGUUGUGUUUAAGGUCCAUCUCAUGAAGUGUUUCUAACAUGCAGCUCAGUUGACAGUAUGUGAAAUGGAUUUAAAUAAUAGAGGAACAACCAAUAAAUGCAAAAAUUAUGCACUGUGUAUAUUAAAAGAAACUGUUCAGUCUACCUGUUCACAGCUGAAGAUUCAAAUAAGAUUAAGAUAAACUUUAGAAUGUUUUUUUGCACACGAGGAGGUUUGAGGAUUUUGUGCCACAUACAUUUGUUAUUAAAAUUAGUCAUGGGUUUUUCAAUGCUCAACAGGAAUAAUUACUGCAAGUUAACCUGCUGAAGUGUUUAUAUGGGUGCCUGACUAUUAUACUGCAGCAAAUGAACUACCUUUGAAUAUAUGCAACAUUUAUAAGGUUCUAUUUCACACUCUCAUGUGCAGAACAAUAGCACAAUUACUACAACUGAAGAGAUAAAAGUACACCAUCAGUAAAACCCGGUCAGUAGCAGUUAGAGCAAACUCUUUCUUUUGCACAGUCUUUUCAGUUUUGCCCAUCUGAUCUUUUCUGAAUUCAGCAGAAGUGCAUAUAUGCUAGCAUUACUAACACAUUUACAAAAAAAACAAAAACAAAAAACAGCUACACUUAUCUUGUCAUGAAAAUAUCUUUAUUUAUUUAUUCGUGGUAAAGAAGAUGUCUGAAAAUAUCUUUACACCGUGUCUGCAGUUAACUGGCUGACAUCGAUAUCAUGGAGAGGUAACAGAUCAGAUCAUGUGUCUACAGCUUGUGUUGCUCAAGAGACCUCAUUAGAGACUGAGGAAUGGGACUCUUCAUUUCUCAGGUGUUUCUAGCUCAUCUACUCAGGGACGUGCUUUUCCCGUAAACUAAACGUGCCUUCAGGAUUUGCCGAAAUGGUUCCACCUCCUCCCGUAUGUGCUACAUAUAUUACAGGCAGAAAACAAAAAUGCAUCCAGUCCUGCUGCUACAUUUACCACUAUUCUUCAUGUUUGACAGUAGCCAACUUAUACUUUUCAGAUCUGUAUUUUUCUAGCAUGGUGACAAUCUCUGGAACUCCUGUGUUAUUUAUCUUGAUGUCAGAUGUGCACUGAAGGAUUAAACUUGAGCAUGGAUUGUUUGUUUUAUCCUUUACAUUGGCACACCUCAGGUAACUGAGGAGGAAUAAAUGUACGAGUUGUCUUGAUGAACCAGGAUAUUUCUGGGUGGAACUUACAGGACUCAACAGCACAAAAUCCAGCUUUUAUUUACUAUGGGCUAUUUAAAUACUGCCCUUAAGUAAAGACAGUAAUAAAACAGUGUGAUAGCACAAUUUAGCCAGAUGAAACAGCACACUGAUUGAUGCACACUAGUGAAGACAAUCAUUCCAAAGAAUGUCAUCUUCAUAUAUAUUUUUUUUAAUGCUGCAGGUUUUUCUUGCAUCAUGCUGAAUAUUGCAUAUAUUGUAUUAUUCUAGUAUUUUAAACUCCAGCAGUGCAUGUGUAUUCUAUGCUGAAUCUUAUUCUGCUAAGUAACUAUUAACAAUGGGAACAGGCAGUAAGUGAGGUGUGUUAUAUUUCCUCUGAAAUUCAGCAAAAUAAAAGUCUUACAAAAUU